UGAGCAUUGGAUGGUCUGUUAAACUGAGUGCCACUCAGUUCUAUAGGACUAAGAGGACUAAGAGUUCUAUAGGACUAAGAGUAUGGACUACCACGGCAUGGCUAGCUCUGUACUGACAGAAGAGUGGUGAACAAGGGGUGUUCUUAACUGCUGGAUGCGACUGUACUUCUCUGGUCAUAAGAGCUAGGACUUGUCAGACGAGGAUGCCACAAUGAUCAGGACAAUGACCCAUUCACCUUCAGGGUUUUUUGACUAAGAAGGAGAGUGAUGGAGUGCUGCAUCAGAUGACCUGACCUCCACAAUCACCCGAUUGAAAAGCAUUCCAGGUGAAGCUGGUUGAGAGAAUGCCAAGAGUGUGCAAAGUUGUCAUCAAGGCAAAGGGUGGCUAUUUGAAGAAUCUCAAAUAUAUUUGUUUAAGGCUUUUUUUUGUUACUACAUGAUACCAUAUGUUUUAUUUAAUUGCUUUGAUGUUUUCAAUAUUAUUCUACAAUUUAUAGUAGAAAGUAAAGAAAAACCUUUGAAUGAGUAGGCGUUCUAAAACUUUUGACCGUGUGUGUAUGUGAGUGUGUGAUAUUAUUAACACUUUGUACCUAGGCAACCUGAAAAAAGCUUUGCCCCCCCCGAGGAAGAUAAAGCUCUAUGCUUUGCUGUGGGGGUGCUUUGCUGGUUCACCCUGGUCAAAGAUCCCUAUGCUCCCUGGUCAAAGAUCCCUAUGCUCCCUGGUCAAAGAUCCCUAUGCUCCCUGGUCAAAGAUCCCUAUGCUCCCUGGUCAAAGAUCCUUAUGCUCCCUGGUCAAAGAUCUCUAUGCUCCCUGGUCAAAGAUCCCUUUGCUCCCUGGUCAAAGAUCCCUAUGCUCCCUGGUCAAAGAUCCCUAUGCUCCCUGGUCAAAGAUCCCUAUGCUCCCUGGUCAAAGAUCCCUAUGCUCC
ensembl:lncRNA